rnacentral:tRNA from 1 species
GGCCCGUUGGUCAAGUGGUUAAGACACCGCCCUUUCACGGCGGUAACACGGGUUCGCAUCCCGUACGGGUGACCA